rfam:Clostridium hiranonis DSM 13275 Scfld1 genomic scaffold, whole genome shotgun sequence.
UAUCGAUGCUAGGGGCGCUGAAAUAAGGUCAGCUGAGAGAGAAAGCCAAAAACUUACAAACCCUAAACACCUGAUCAAGAUAAUGCUUGCGAAGGGAAGCUGGUAGAAAAUUUU